UGUCCGGUGCGCCCCCGGCG
rnacentral:snRNA from 1 species